rnacentral:rRNA from 1 species
AUUGAACGCUGGCGGAAUGCUUUACACAUGCAAGUCGAACGGUAGAGGGGCAACCCCUCGAGAGUGGCGAACGGGUGAGUAAUAUAUCGGAACGUGCCCAGUCGUGGGGGAUAACGUAGCGAAAGUUACGCUAAUACCGCAUACGAUCUAAGGAUGAAAGCGGGGGAUCGCAAGACCUCGCGCGAUUGGAGCGGCCGAUAUCAGAUUAGGUAGUUGGUGGGGUAAAGGCUCACCAAGCCAACGAUCUGUAGCUGGUCUGAGAGGACGACCAGCCACACUGGAGCUGAGACACGGUCCAGACUCCUACGGGAGGCAGCAGUGGGGAAUUUUGGACAAUGGACGCAAGUCUGAUCCAGCCAUUCCGCGUGCAGGAUGAAGGCCCUCGGGUUGUAAACUGCUUUUGUACGGAACGAAAAGGUCUCUCUUAAUACGGGGGGCUCAUGACGGUACCGUAAGAAUAAGCACCGGCUAACUACGUGCCAGCAGCCGCCGUAA